GGGGGGGGGGGGGGGGGGGGCGGGGGGGGGCGGGGCGGGGGGGGGCGGGGGGGCGGCCGUGGCGGCGGGCGGCGGACGGGUGGGGAGUUCGGCGGGGUGUGCCUUUUGGUGGGGGAUGAGGGAGGGGAACGUACGCUAAUACCGCAUACGUCCUACGGGAGGGAGGGGGGGACCGCAAGGCCUCACGCAGAAAGAUGGGCCGACGACCGAUUAGCUAGUUGGGGGGGUAAAGGCCCACCAAGGCGACGAUCGGGAGCUGGUCUGAGAGGAUGAUCAGCCACACUGGGACUGAGACACGGCCCAGACUCCUACGGGAGGCAGCAGUGGGGAAUAUUGGACAAUGGGCGCAAGCCUGAUCCAGCCAUGCCGCGUGUGUGAAGAAGGCCUUCGGGUUGUAAAGCACUUUUGUCCGGAAAGAAAUCCCUGGAGCUAAUACCUUCGGGGGAGGACGGUACCGGAAGAAUAAGCACCGGCUAACUUCGU
rnacentral:rRNA from 1 species